rnacentral:lncRNA from 1 species
GGAACUGUUGCUAUGCGGGGGCGUGGCAUUGAUGCCCGCAAGGACGCCCUGGCGGCCCCUUCCCCUCACCUGCACGAACUACAUUUCCCGUGAUGCUCCGAGAGGGUUCCGUUGUGACGAAGGGAACAAGCGCAGACGGGGGCGGGGGAGAGGGGGCGCUAUUCCCAAGUCGGCUCUCAGGCACCAGCAGCCGCCACCGCCGCCAUGUUGGGCUGAGGCGAUGACAGGAGGCGGCCGGGGCGUGUGGGAUUGAGGAGUGGAGGAGGAGGCGGAGAGUCAGGGCUCUGAGGGGGAGCUGUUCCCAAGCUAAGGGAGGAGCCCCCGGAAGACGCCGCGGAAGGCAGCGAGGCGGAGGCGGCCGGAGUACGGACGCGAUGUGGCCCGACCCGCGCUGCUGCGCUGAGGCGCCCGCGGCCUGAGCCCCCCGGCGCUGCGCUCGGUUCGGCUCGGCCCGGUUCGGCUCGGCUCGGCGGCCGGCGAGGUCGAUGCCCUUGAGCGCGGCUGCGCGCAGCUCGGCUGUGCGGCCCCGCGGCGCGCGCUGAGCUUCUCGGCGGCCCCGGCCGCUCUCAGCUCGGCGCUCGAUGUGUAGCCACAUAGUUAUCUGUACACUUCGUCGCCGGGGCUUUAAUGAGGACCUGAGUCGCGAGCGCGAGUGAAUCACCGCCUGGGCCGGGGAAAGAGGACGGCGCAUUUAACCCCCUCCCACCCCACUCCAUGUCCCUGUGUCACUCGGCUCUGUCCACCUGGCGCGGCGGGUCCUGGAGCUGCUACUGCUGCUGACGAUCGACUCCCCUCGCGCCUCUCGCCCCAGAAGCUCUUGUGCUCCCACGUAACUUCUACUUUUUUUUUUUCCUUUUGAGAAAGCUCAGCACGAACCGAUCAGAAUUGUGAAGGGUUUUUGUUUUUUUUUUGUUUUUUGUUUUGCUUUUGGGUUUUCCGAAGCUCCAGCACUUCUGCUCUUGUUUUUGUUUUGUUUUCUGCGUAAACCUCUGGCCCACUCUCAAAAGGCAAGAUGUCCAGUCAUGUCCCGGCGGAUAUGAUUAAUUUGCGCCUCAUCUUGGUGAGUGGAAAGACGAAAGAGUUCCUCUUCUCCCCAAACGACUCUGCCUCUGACAUCGCAAAGCACGUGUAUGACAACUGGCCCAUGGACUGGGAAGAAGAGCAGGUCAGCAGCCCGAACAUUCUUCGACUCAUUUAUCAAGGCAGAUUUCUACACGGAAACGUCACCCUAGGAGCAUUAAAACUUCCUUUUGGCAAAACAACAGUGAUGCAUUUGGUGGCCAGAGAGACCCUGCCAGAGCCCAAUUCACAAGGUCAGAGAAACCGGGAGAAAACUGGUGAGAGCAACUGCUGUGUGAUCCUGUAACAUCGUCGCCAGCGCAGGUGUGGCAGUCUGUUACCACUGCGGGGACAGAGGAGACUCGGCAGCUUCCGACACCUGUGGGACAGUCGCCCGCACAUCCAGACUGAACCACUCAUGAGCUCUGUGAUCUCUCCUCACAAAGUAAAAAGAACCAAGAACAUUUCCAGUCUGGUCCUUUAUUCCUGUAUCUCUUGUCUGUGUUGAGCAGUCUGAAAUGCACAGUGGUCUCCAGGGGAAAUAGCAAGUCUCUCAAGUCUCUCUCUGCAGAAACCGCCUUGCUGCCACAAAGACUCCUCCACAGAAGUCAGAAGGCGAGUGCUGCAAGUUCAAUUUGCACUAAAAACAUUAUUAUUUUCCUCAUCAGCGUAAUCUGCACAUGUCUGUGGCGCCCAGACGUUCUCCUGUGUGGAGUUCACCCUGGAGGACGCCCAUCAUCAGUGCAGUUAAUACCAGGCCAGUUGGACCGGGGAAAUGGGAAGGAAUCUAACAUGCUGGGUGAAUUCUACCAAAGUCAGCCACAGUGGCUGUCCUCGAAGGAUGUCAGACUGGGCAUGACUCUUGUCACCACAGCAAAUGAGAAGCCAUGCCUGCUGCUCACAGCACUCUGUAGAGGGUGCCCCUGCUGCCUGCCCACCGAGUCCUCCCCACAGGGGGCUCAUGCAGACAGCACAGAGGGGCCGCAGUGUGUCCCUAGCCUUAAUGUGGAGGGGCCAGUGUCUCGGUGCCAUCACUGUGCAGAACUGGUGGGAAGCCUCAGCGGUUGUGUACUUGAGUAUCAGAAGAUUGAUAGCUUGCGCCACCAUCACUCAUUCGAACCCUGCCGAGUGUACUCGCUCACUAGAGCAGAGGGAUCCUUUUAAAGUCUCCAGAUGCUAAUUUUGUUACUUUCUGUAGUUUGCAUUCGGAAUCAGUGCUUGCAAUUGUAUUAAAAUCACAAGCUGAGUUUUAAGGCAUACAUGAUCAAUAGCGCCACUCUUAUUUUUACCAAUAAUUUAAAGAUUGAGAUGCUAUAAAUAAACAAUUUGCACAGCACUAAAGCAUGAGCUAAUUUCAUCUAAACCUGUAAAAAAAAGAUUUUAUAUUUUUUUCACUGGGAAGAAAUCUUCCUGGAUGAAAUUACAAAUAUGUGUAGAUUAUAUUUAAUAAAAAAGACAUAAUAAAAUAUCUAACUGUAGAAUGCAAAUAUAGAUUGGCGUGUAGCAUAUAGACCAGUAUUCCAUAUCAAUAACUUUAUCCAGCCUUUUAAAAGAUGAAGUUGCAGACUACGUUGUGUUCUGUAUUUAAUGAGGGUUCUUGGCCCUCGGCAGCAUUAAAUGUAAAUGGUCUCUAUGGUCAUCUUUGUUUAAAUGCAAUCAGGUUACUUUAUUCAUUGUUAAUGCUUCCAUGAGAAGGCUUUAUAUGCAGUAGAUCUACGAAAAUAUUGUUCAUACUGAUCAGAAUUAAAUUUGUAUAGAGCAGAGUUUUAAAAUGAAUGUAAAUAGCACUAAACCUUUUCUUUCUGCAGCCUGUACUUAAUAGAUUUCUUCUGUAAACUAAAUAAAAAAAAAUUGUAGUGCAUUUUGUUGGUGAUUUAAAGGUCAGCGAUGGUUUAAGCAUAGUCUCAUCUAUUUUGCAGUUAAUUUUCUACUCUCCUGAGGCUUCUCUGUUGCUACUUGGGAGUGCCCCAGUGUGGCUUCCAGUCAGCUGGCUAAUGUGGGAGGCCCAGCACUGGGGUUGUGUGUUUGUUAUCCCGAAGAUGUUAAUGUGGAAGAUGUUAAUGGGGCAGGUAGCCAUGGUGACUGUGUUCUUUAGGAAAUCAAACCUGCUGGUUAAUCAUUUUUUAACACUUAGAUUCCCGAUACUCUUCCCAAAGCUAAACACUUUGGGUCCAUUGUGACUGCACUUCGGACAGUUAAUACUCACAGUUGGCUCCCUGUGUUUUUUUUUUUUUUUUUUUUUAAAGAUUUAUUUAUUAUAUAUAAGUACACUGUAGCUGUCUUCAGAUACACCAGAAGAGGGCAUCAGAUCUCUUUACAGAUGGUUGUGAGCCACCAUGUGGUUGCUGGGAAUUGAACUCAUGACCUCUGGAAGAGCAGUCGGGUGCUCUUA